AGUGAACGCUGGCGGUAGGCCUAACACAUGCAAGUCGAACGGCAGCACAGUAAGAGCCUGCUCUUACGGGUGGCGAGUGGCGGACGGGUGAGGAAUACAUCGGAAUCUACUUUUUCGUGGGGGAUAACGUAGGGAAACUUACGCUAAUACCGCAUACGACCUACGGGUGAAAGCAGGGGAUCUUCGGACCUUGCGCGAUUGAAUGAGCCGAUGUCGGAUUAGCUAGUUGGCGGGGUAAAGGCCCACCAAGGCGACGAUCCGUAGCUGGUCUGAGAGGAUGAUCAGCCACACUGGAACUGAGACACGGUCCAGACUCCUACGGGAGGCAGCAGUGGGGAAUAUUGGACAAAGGGCGCAAGCCUGAUCCAGCCAUACCGCGUGGGUGAAGAAGCCCUUCGGGUUGUAAAGCCCUUUUGUUGGGAAAGAAAAGCAGCAGGUUAAUACCCCGCUGUUCUGACGGUACCCAAAGAAUAAGCACCGGCUAACUUCGUG
rnacentral:rRNA from 1 species